UGAAGAGUUUGAUCCUGGCUCAGAUUGAACGCUGGCGGCAGGCCUAACACAUGCAAGUCGAACGGAAACAUGUCUAGCUUGCUAGAUGAUGUCGAGUGGCGGACGGGUGAGUAAUACUUAGGAACAUGCCUUUGGGUGGGGGAUAACUAUUGGAAACGAUAGCUAAUACCGCAUAACGUCUACGGACCAAAGGGGGGAGCUUGCUCCUCCCGUCCAAAGAGUGGCCUAAGCGAGAUUAGCUUGUUGGUGAGGUAAAGGCUCACCAAGGCGACGAUCUCUAGCUGUUCUGAGAGGAAGAUCAGCCACACUGGGACUGAGACACGGCCCAGACUCCUACGGGAGGCAGCAGUGGGGAAUAUUGCACAAUGGAGGAAACUCUGAUGCAGCCAUGCCGCGUGUGUGAAGAAGGCCUUCGGGUUGUAAAGCACUUUCAGUUGUGAGGAAAGCUUGAUGGUUAAUACCCAUCAGGUAUGACGUUAGCAACAGAAGAAGGACCGGCUAACUCCGUGCCAGCAGCCGCGGUAAUACGGAGGGUCCGAGCGUUAUCCGGAAUUAUUGGGUUUAAAGGGUCCGUAGGCGGGCCGAUAAGUCAGGGGUGAAAGUCUGCCGCUCAACGGUAGAACUGCCUUUGAUACUGUCGGUCUUGAGUUAUAGUGAAGUUGCCGGAAUAUGUAGUGUAGCGGUGAAAUGCAUAGAUAUUACAUAGAACACCGAUUGCGAAGGCAGGUGACUAACUAUAUACUGACGCUGAUGGACGAAAGCGUGGGGAGCGAACAGGAUUAGAUACCCUGGUAGUCCACGCCGUAAACGAUGGAUACUAGCUGUCCGGAACCUUGAGUUCUGGGCGGCCAAGCGAAAGUGAUAAGUAUCCCACCUGGGGAGUACGUUCGCAAGAAUGAAACUCAAAGGAAUUGACGGGGGCCCGCACAAGCGGUGGAGCAUGUGGUUUAAUUCGAUGAUACGCGAGGAACCUUACCAGGGCUUAAAUGCAUUUUGACAGGGGUAGAGAUACCUUUUCCUUCGGGCAAUUUGCAAGGUGCUGCAUGGUUGUCGUCAGCUCGUGCCGUGAGGUGUCAGGUUAAGUCCUAUAACGAGCGCAACCCCUACCGUUAGUUGCCAGCAUGUCAUGAUGGGGACUCUAACGGGACUGCCGGUGCAAACCGUGAGGAAGGUGGGGAUGACGUCAAAUCAUCACGGCCCUUACGUCCUGGGCCACACACGUGCUACAAUGGCAGGUACAGAGAGCAGCCAUGUCGCAAGGCAGAGCGAAUCUAUAAAACCUGUCACAGUUCGGAUCGGGGUCUGCAACUCGACCCCGUGAAGCUGGAAUCGCUAGUAAUCGGAUAUCAGCCAUGAUCCGGUGAAUACGUUCCCGGGCCUUGUACACACCGCCCGUCACACCAUGGGAG
rnacentral:rRNA from 1 species